UACGUAGGGAGCAAGCGUUGUUCGGAAUCACUGGGCAUAAAGCGCAUGUAGGCGGCGAGGCAAGUCGGGUGUGAAAUCCCCUGGCUCAACCAGGGAACAGCAUUCGAUACUACCUUGCUCGAGGGCGAUAGAGGAGAGCGGAACUCGUAGUGGAGCGGUGAAAUGCGUAGAUAUUACGAGGAACACCGGCGGCGAAAGCGGCUCUCUGGGUCGUUCCUGACGCUGAGAUGCGAAAGCCAGGGGAGCAAACGGG
rnacentral:rRNA from 1 species